UACAGAGGUCUCAAGCGUUGUUCGGAUUCAUUGGGCGUAAAGGGUGCGUAGGUGGCAUGGUAAGUCGGAUGUGAAAUCCCGGGGCUCAACCCCGGAACUGCAUUCGAUACUGCUGCGCUAGAGUACUGGAGAGGAGAUUGGAAUUUACGGUGUAGCAGUGAAAUGCGUAGAUAUCGUAAGGAAGACCAGUGGCGAAGGCGGCUCACUGGUCCGGUACUGACGCUGAGGUGCGAAAGCGUGGGAGCAAACAGG
rnacentral:rRNA from 1 species